GACGAACGCUGGCGGCGCGCUUAACACAUGCAAGUCGAGCGAUGAAAUCUUAACAGCACCCUUCGGGGUGAAGAUAAGACGGAUUAGCGGCGGACGGGUGAGUAACACGUGAGUAACCUGCCUUUUACACAGGGAUAGCCUCAGGAAACCGGGAUUAAAACCUGAUGAAAAUAUCAAAUCACAUGAUUCAGUAAGUUAAAACUCCGGUGGUAAAAGAUGGACUCGCGUCCCAUUAGCUAGUUGGUGCAGGUAACGGCCCACCAAAGCAACGAUGGGUAGCCUGGCAGAGAGAGAGAGCGGCCACAUUGGAACGAAGAAACGGUCCAAACUCCUACGGGAUGCAGCAGAGGGGAAUAUUGCACAAUGGGGGAAACCCUGAUGCAGCUAGGCCGCGUGAGCGAAGAAGGCCUGCGGGUCGUAAAGCUCUUUUAUAUGGGAAGAUAAUGACGGUACCAUAAGAAAAAGCCCCGGCUAACUACGUG
rnacentral:rRNA from 1 species